GUAGUCCCAGAGGAAGAUGGUUCUUGGAAAAUUUUUAAAAUUAAACGCUGUUUUUUUGAAACUGAUGAUUAUAGCAAAGCACAAAGGCAAAUCAAACAAGCACAGAUAACGUCUGAUUGUCAAAGUGAAGUUGAGGAGGUUUUGCCAUUAAAGAGAACAAUCCAUAAACCGAAAAAAUUAAUAUACAGCAGCAGUGAUGAUGAGGACGAGGUUUUAUCUGAGAAGCAUAAACUUCCACCACCACCAAAGAUUGUCAGAUUAAAUAACAAGGCAAAUAAUGAUGAAGCAUCAUCUUCAUCAUCACAAACGUCAAAAAGUAUCCAACAAAGUGCAGCAUCUGAUACACUGAAUUCUUUUAAUGGUGAUCCUCAAACAUCGUACAGUAGUCCAUCUCAUUCAACAAAUAUAUUUAGAUCAUUUUCGAAUAGUACUCCAACUAUAUCAACUGUAAUUGAAAAUAGUUUUCAAGAUAGUAUC